AAAUCAUUCCUCAGUGCAGCGCUCGCCAACCGGUGGUCUGGGGACCAUUGGUGGUCCGUGAGGUCCGAAAGGUUGGCUACCGUUGCCUCAAUGCAGUAGCAUCCUUAACCAUGUCCUUGCUAGUUCAUGUUUCUCAUCUGCUCACAAUCCUUCAGUGCUUUCCUCUCUCAUCCAGAAUAAAAGGCUACAUCUGCACCAGGUCCCUAACUGUCUGCAGUCUGGUCCCUGUAAUCUGCCUCAUGGCACACCAGCCAACAGUCUCCUUCCUGUUCUCCAAACACUUGCCAGAACAUCUGUGCCUCUGCAUCUUUGUCUUGCUGUUCCCUCUGUCUAAAACCCUCUUCUCCUAAAUAUCCUUAUGGCUGGCUCCUUUACCUCUUUUUGGUUUUUACUCAGAUGAUACUUCUCAAUGAGUCAUCACUAUCCAUGCAGCUUAACAUUGCCCUCCCACCUUUCUCCUUUCCUGCUUACUUCCUCUCCACGGUACUUUUCUCCAGCGAACAGAAUAUAAAUGUAUCUUACUUAGUGUUUUGUUUACUGUUACCUUUUCACUAGGAUGUAAGCUUCAUAAGGGCAAAGAUUUUCAAUUGUUUUUUUCUAGCUGCUAGCACAGUGCUUAGAAAACAAUAAGCAUUCAAAAUUUGUUGUUAAGUGCAGGAAUGAGAUGAGAUAGUCCAAACUGAAGUGAUUUCAGUGUGAGUGGAAAGAAAGCAAUAAAUGCAAGAGACAUGACAGAGAAGGACUCUUAGAGACUUGUUAAAUCUGCGUAUUCAUGGGGAGGGGUCAAGAAUUAUAGGUUAUUUCCUCACUUAACAGGAAGGCUGAAUUGAACUCUUUCUCUGUUCAGAGGCAGUGUUUGUCAUGGGGGCUGCAGAAACUUGGUUCUGGCUAGGGGCCAGUGAGUAAUGUUGUAGGGAAAAAUCACACCAGGUUCAUUUCAGGAUCUAACCUUAGGUGACUUGGACAAAGUGCGAUUGAUUGACAUUUUUCUGUCAAUGGGUUGAUGGAGCCAAGAAGUGAAGAAAGAAGAUGAAAGAGUUUCAGAACUAUUGCCAGAGAGUUAGACGGGCUCUUAAAAAUGAGAAAACCUUGCUUACCAGGAUGUUGGCCAACUCUGAUUCUUAUCUGUGGGGUUCCCUGAGCCUUCAAAACCAGUUGAAGCCAUUAUAUAUUGUCACCAUUUGACAGUUCUAUCAAUUGGGUAGUUUGUUUCCCCUCCCAGAUCCUUAUGCAAGGUCCAUAUUUACUUUCGUUUUUGUAUUUCUGCUUUUCAUACUAUUGCUCCCUAGAAAUAAAGACCAUCUUUUAGUCUUUUUGAUUGUGUCAUGACUCUCAAAAUAUAUAUUCUUUAUAACAGAGUUAAUUGAUUCCAAGGAAUUAUUUCUUAAGGUGAUAAUGAUUGUGAAAACAUAAUAUUCUGGUCUGAAACUUGUUGCAACAGAUAUGCACCAACCCUGUAAGAACAAUGUUAAUUUUCUCCAUCUAUUGAGUACUUACCAGAAAUUCAUGUGGAAUGUAGAGUAAGUGCAUUCAUAUGCAGCACUGAUUCAUGAUAAAUGUUGUAUGCUAGAAGAAGAAGGAAUCUUAAUUUCUGUUCAUUUCUAUCUUAAUAUCUUGAGCUCUUAUUAUAUCCAAAAAGUGAAGAACUAGCCUUGGAUUUACAACAUUAAAACUGAUCAACCUGCUCUCCAGGUUUUUACAACGUUGGAUACAGAAGAAUGAAUACAGAACAUGAUAAAUGUGAAUAGUAUCAGAAAAGGAAAAUGCUGUGGAGGUCUGAGGAAGGGGGACACUGGUUCCAGCAGGCAGGACAGGGAAGGUUGCAGAAAUGUGUGGCAUUUCAGGGCACAAUUGAACAGAAUGAGAGGAGGGAUGGGGACAGGAUUUAGGCUUUGGGAACAGAGAUGCAAAA